rnacentral:rRNA from 1 species
GCAGUCGAGCGGCAGCGACUUAACUGAACCUUCGGGGAACGUUAAGGGCGGCGAGCGGCGGACGGGUGAGUAAUGCCUGGGAAUAUGCCCUGAUGUGGGGGAUAACUAUUGGAAACGAUAGCUAAUACCGCAUAAUCUCUUCGGAGCAAAGAGGGGGACCUUCGGGCCUCUCGCGUCAGGAUUAGCCCAGGUGGGAUUAGCUUGUUGGUGAGGUAAUGGCUCACCAAGGCAACGAUCCCUAGCUGGUCUGAGAGGAUGAUCAGCCACACUGGAACUGAGACACGGUCCAGACUCCUACGGGAGGCAGCAGUGGGGAAUAUUGCACAAUGGGGGAAACCCUGAUGCACCCAUGCCGCGUGUAUGAAGAAGGCCUUC